AUGCAGCAAACACCGAUAUCCGGGAAUACAAGCUUUGCCACUGCUGGGUUGCAACAAGGUCAACAAUUUCCCCAACAGCAAAUGUUUUCCAUCCCUAACGCAUGUAGAAAGGAAAGGACACACAUGCUUCCACCAGUUGCUCCGCCAACAUCAAUCAUCCGUGCUGCAAAAGCGGUUGCGACGGGAAGACCACGCCCAAGAGAUAAAAAUGUUUGCCACUCUAGCAGGGUGCAAAGUAGAAGAUAUGAGCCAUAUAGACAGGAGCGACCUCAGAACGAAUCUGAUGAAAGACGGUCGUACAAUGAGAGACGGAGAGCUUCAUCAACAGUGCUCCCUCCAAGAGAUGCCUUGCUGCAUGUGCUGAGGGUAACACCAACCGCGCCCAUACACCAGGGUGAACAGCAAACACCAGAGGUAGCACAGAGCUAUACACAUCCACCUAACAUUGAAGUUUAUGUUCUGCCAAGGCUAGAGACGCGCUUUGAAACUUUCAAAGAGGCAAAGAACUUCUACAACGUCUAUGCAAAGCACGCGAGUUUUGUUGUCAGGGAAGGCUCCAAAGUUAACACCAAAAUCUACCUUUAUUGCACGUGCUAUGGAUUCUAUGAAUCGAAGGUGUCAGAAGCAAAUAGACAGUGGAACAAGACGAUAUCCAGGACUAAAUAUGGGGCUAAAAUGAGGCUGAAGAGGGAAAAUGAUGGAACACUUGUCAUAAGAGAUAGUCUGGGAACACAACCACAGACUACAACUCUCCCCCAAAUGCUUGUCUUCUUGCACUCCCACAAAAACUUUGACAAAACAAUCUUGGAGUACGUCAAGUACCUGCAGUUCAAAGGCAUUGAACACACGCAAACCAUGAGCAUACUGGGCGGCGAUGACCCCGGUAGGUACUUCCUCGAAAUGAAUGCCAAAGACCUGAUUAACAUCAAAGCAAAGAAUUCAAGGAUGGAUGAUGUGGACGAUGUCCUAAAGACUGUCAACUCUUUUAGGGAGAUGAAAGCGAUAAACAGGGAAUUAUUCUGCGACAUACAACUUGAUGAGUCCGACAGAGUGAAGAACAUAUUCGGGGCGAACGCAAGCUACCGAGGGGCUUAUCAAGACUUUGGUGACCGCGUAACGUUUGACACCACAUAUAAGACCAACAAGUACCAUAUGCCACUUGGGAUGUUUGUGGGUACUAACAACCACUUACAGACUACAUUCUUUGCUUUCGCCCUAAUAAGAGAUGAGGAUGCAGAUUCAUUCAGAUGGUUGUUCAAAACAUUUUAA
rnacentral:rRNA from 1 species